rnacentral:rRNA from 1 species
UACGUAGGGUGCAAGCGUUGUCCGGAAUUAUUGGGCGUAAAGAGCUUGUAGGCGGUUUGUCGCGUCUGCUGUGAAAAUCCGGGGCUCAACCCCGGACUUGCAGUGGGUACGGGCGGACUAGAGUGUGGUAGGGGAGACUGGAAUUCCUGGUGUAGCGGUGAAAUGCGCAGAUAUCAGGAGGAACACCGAUGGCGAAGGCAGGUCUCUGGGCCACUACUGACGCUGAGAAGCGAAAGCAUGGGGAGCGAACAGG